GACGAACGCUGGCGGCGUGCUUAACACAUGCAAGUCGAACGGAAAGGCCUCUUUCGGGGGGUACUCGAGUUGCGAACGGGUGAGUAACACGUGAGUAACCUGCCCUCUACUUUGGGAUAACUUCAGGCGACUGGGGCGAAUACCUGAUAGGAGCUCCUGCUGCCUGGUGGGGGUAGGAAAGUUUCGGCGGUUGGGGGUGGACUCGCGGCGUAUCCGCUUUUUGUUGGGGUAGUGGCUUACCAACGCUUUGACGGGUAGCCGGCCUGAGAGGGUGACCGGCCGCAUUGGGACCGAGAGAAGGCCCAGACUCCGAAGGGAGGCAGAUGGGGGGAAGAUUGAACAAGGGGUGGAAGCCUGAUGCAGAAAGGCCUUGGGCGGGAAGACGGCCUUCGGGUUGAAAAACGCUUUCGCUCAUGACGAAGCUUUGUGUGACGGCAGUGGGUAAAGAAGCACCGGCUAACUACGUG
rnacentral:rRNA from 1 species